rnacentral:rRNA from 1 species
CCUACGGGAGGCUGCAGUGAGGAAUAUUGGGCAAUGGACGAGAGUCUGAACCAGCCAAGUAGCGUGAAGGAUGACUGCUCUAUGGGUUGUAAACUUCUCUUAUAAAGGAAUAAAACGAGGCACGUGCGCCUUUUGGCAUGUACUUUAUGAAUAAGGAUCGGCUAACUCCGUGCCAGCAGCCGCGGUAAUACGGAGGAUCCGAGCGUUAUCCGGAUUUAUUGGGUGUAAAGGGAGCGUAGAUGGGUUGUUAAGUCAGUUGUGAAAGUUUGAGGCUCAACCGUAAAAUUGCAAUUGAUACUGGCGGUCUUGAAUACAGUUGAGGUAGGCGGAAUUCGUGGUGUAGCGGUGAAAUGCUUAGAUAUCACGAAGAACACCGAUUGCGAAGGCAGCUUACUAAACUGUGACUGACAUUGAUGAUCGAAAGUGUGGGUAUCAAACAGGAUUAGAUACCCUAGUAGUC